rnacentral:rRNA from 1 species
AUUGAACGCUGGCGGCAGGCCUAACACAUGCAAGUCGAACGAGUGGCGGACGGGUGAGUAAUGUCUGGGAAACUGCCCGAUGGAGGGGGAUAACUACUGGAAACGGUAGCUAAUACCGCAUACCAUCGGAUGUGCCCAGAUGGGAUUAGCUUGUAGGUGAGGUAACGGCUCACCUAGGCGACGAUCCCUCGCUGGUCUGAGAGGAUGACCAGCCACCCUGGAAUGGAGACACGGUCCAGCCGCCUCAGUGAGGCAGCAGUGGGGAAUAUUGCACAAUGGGCGCAAGCCGGAUGCAGACAUGCCGCGGGUAUGAAGAAGGACUUCGGGUGGUAAAUUACUUUCAGCGGGGAGGCGUUACCCGCAGAAGAAGCACCGGCUAACUCCGUGCCAGCAGACGCGGUAAUAC